CCCCACUCUCUCUGUGGGCAGAGCCAGGUGUGGGGCCGACACGCACUUUCUCUCUCCCGUCAGCUGCCUGCCCUGGGGUGAGUGGUAAGUGGUGACCGCAGGCGGCUCUGCCUGCCAAGUGGGUCACGAAGCCCCAAGUGUGUCCUUGCCCCCAGCCACGGCCGGCCCCUGUGCCGCUGCCCACCCUGUGUCUGCACCCAGCCUGUGUGUCUCCUGUUGCCCAGCCUUCCCCACUGUGGGGGCCCCAGCCUCCUGUCAUAGGGUCCCCAGCCUCCUGUCGUAGGGAUCCCAGCCCUGAGCCUGCUGUGUCUAGAUCCCUGGGUACUGUUUCUUGGGGUUGUGUGUGGGGAGAUGGACUCUGUCCUGUGGUCGAGGGACGCUGCGUGCCACCCUGUGAGUUAAGAGCUUUUCUCGGCUGCUGUGUAGGUGGGCGGUGGCCUGGGAGCCGCCAUCCUCCAAAGGUGUGAACCAGAGGUCCCCCAGGGGACAGGCCUUGGUCUUGCUGGCAAGGAGUGCCACACAGAGUCCCACGUGGAUUUCCAGCCUGGACUCGAGCUGCAUGGCCCAGGCGGGUGUGGUCUGUUCACAUGCAGCUCAGUGGGCAGGUCUGAGGCCUUUGUGCUGGGAGUGCCAGGCAGCCAGCCGGCUGUCCUCAGUGCCGCCCUGCUGGCCAGCAGCGAGAUGGGGUGACCACGCAGCUCAUGUGUGAGACCUCAGAUGUGAGGGUGCUGGCCACGCCUUCCUGGGGAGGGGGCUGGUCCAGGCCAGGUGGGCUCAGGGUUGGGGGCUGGGCACUGCCUGGCAACCCCAGCAAUGGGGACACCCCACCUUGGGUCCCCAUCCUAACCCAGCCCCCUGUCUGUCAGCACGCGAAGCUGCCCCCAGACAGCUGUCCCCUCCUUGUGUUCGUGAACCCCAAGAGUGGAGGGCUCAAGGGCCGAGACCUGCUCUGCAGCUUCCGGAAGUUACUGAACCCUCAUCAGGUCUUCGACCUGACCAACGGAGGUCCUCUUCCCGGGCUCCACCUGUUCUCCCAGGUGCCCUGCUUCCGGGUGCUGGUGUGUGGUGGCGAUGGCACUGUGGGCUGGGUGCUUGGCGCCCUGGAGGAGACACGGUACCGACUGGCCUGCCCGGAGCCUUCUGUGGCCAUCCUGCCCCUGGGCACAGGGGAAUGACCUUGGUCGAGUCCUCCGCUGGGGGGCGGGCUACAGCGGCGAGGACCCGUUCUCCGUACUGCUGUCUGUGGAUGAGGCCGACGCCGUGCUCAUGGACCGCUGGACCAUCCUGCUGGAUGCCCACGAGGCUGGCAGUGCAGAGAACGGCACGGCAGACGCAGAGCCCCCCAAGGUACAGGGCAGCCCGGCGUGGGGUGCCCUCCAGGCUCCUGCAUAUGACUCCACUACACGCGUCACAACGGGCGUCCUCUUCCCAGCCACACUCGGGCGUACGCGCCCGCAUCAUCCCCUCUGCGAAGCGGGCAGUUGAGGGAGACACAGAAAGUGGCCACUGCUGGGGAUUGUGCCGAGCCAGCUGGCGACAGAGCCUGGGC
rnacentral:lncRNA from 1 species